ensembl:misc_RNA Metazoa_SRP Metazoan signal recognition particle RNA
GCCGGGCACGGUGGCGUGUGCCUGUAUGUAGUCCCAGCUACUCAGGAGGCUGUGGUGGGAGGAUCGCUCAAGCCCAGGAGUUCUGGGCUGUAGUGCGUUAUGCCAAUCGGGUGUCUGCACUGAGUUCUGCAUCAAUAUGGUGACCUCCCAGGAGUGGGGGACCACAAGUUUGCCUAAGGAGGGGUGAUCCAGCCCAGGUCGGAAACAGAGCAGGUCAAAACUCCCGUGCUGAUCAGUAGUGGGAGCACACCUGUGAAUAGCCAUUUCACUCCAGACUGGGCAACAUAGUGAGACCCCGUCCCUU